GAUGAACGCUAGCUACAGGCUUAACACAUGCAAGUCGAGGGGCAGCAUGAACUUAGCUUGCUAAGUUUGAUGGCGACCGGCGCACGGGUGAGUAACGCGUAUCCAACCUGCCCUUUACGCGGGGAUAGCCUUCUGAAAGGAAGUUUAAUACCCGAUGAAUUCGUUUAGUCGCAUGGCUUGAUGAACAAAGAUUUAUCAGUAAAGGAUGGGGAUGCGUCCCAUUAGCUGGUUGGUGGGGUAACGGCCCACCAAGGCGACGAUGGGUAGGGGUUCUGAGAGGAAGGUCCCCCACAUUGGAACUGAGACACGGUCCAAACUCCUACGGGAGGCAGCAGUGAGGAGUAUUGGUCAAUGGGCGAGAGCCUGAACCAGCCAAGUAGCGUGAAGGAUGAAAGGUCCUACGGAUUGUAAACUUCUUUUGUACGAGGGUAAAUUCAGAUACGUGUAUCUGUUUGAAAGUAUCGUACGAAUAAGGAUCGGCUAACUCCGUGCCAGCAGCCGCGGU
rnacentral:rRNA from 1 species